GAGCUUGCUCUCGGGUGACGAGCGGCGGACGGGUGAGUAAUGUCUGGGAAACUGCCUGAUGGAGGGGGAUAACUACUGGAAACGGUAGCUAAUACCGCAUAACGUCGCAAGACCAAAGUGGGGGACCUUCGGGCCUCAUGCCAUCAGAUGUGCCCAGAUGGGAUUAGCUAGUAGGUGGGGUAAUGGCUCACCUAGGCGACGAUCCCUAGCUGGUCUGAGAGGAUGACCAGCCACACUGGAACUGAGACACGGUCCAGACUCCUACGGGAGGCAGCAGUGGGGAAUAUUGCACAAUGGGCGCAAGCCUGAUGCAGCCAUGCCGCGUGUAUGAAGAAGGCCUUCGGGUUGUAAAGUACUUUCAGCGAGGAGGAAGGCGUUAAGGUUAAUAACCUURGCGAUUGACGUUACUCGCAGAAGAAGCACCGGCUAACUCCGUGCCAGCAGCCGCGGUAAUACGGAGGGUGCAAGCGUUAAUCGGAAUUACUGGGCGUAAAGCGCACGCAGGCGGUCUGUCAAGUCGGAU
rnacentral:rRNA from 1 species